rfam:Papio anubis isolate 1X1155 chromosome 16, whole genome shotgun sequence.
CAGUGCAGUCACCCAUAAAGUAGAAAGCACUACUAACAGCACUGGAGGGUGUAGUGUUUCCUACUUUAUGGAUGAGUGUACUGU